GGCUGAGUCACCUAUCUUUUGCACCAACACCACUGAAUGAAAUGAAGAUGAGAUACAUUUAUUACUCACAUGCUGUUGAAGAGCUCACGCUGGAAAUGGACCCUAAUUCAGAGGCCACCUCUAUGAUGUAUGUCACAUUCGAUUCCCAUUAACAAGCUACUCCCUUUUUCCCCACCUUCUCUACUGAGAGGAGAAAGGAUAUACGACGUGAUGGGUGAGUGAGGUUCCACUACUACAGUUUCAUCUGAGACAGCAAUUCCUACUGGACAAACUUCUGGCAACUCUCCUGUAAUUCUG